UACGUAGGGUGCGAGCGUUAAUCGGAAUUACUGGGCGUAAAGCGUGCGCAGGCGGUUCGUUAAGUCAGAUGUGAAAGCCCCGGGCUCAACCUGGGAACUGCAUUUGAAACUGGCGGGCUUGAGUGUGGCAGAGGGGGGGUGGAAUUCCGCGUGUAGCAGUGAAAUGCGUAGAGAUGCGGAGGAACACCGAUGGCGAAGGCAGCCCCCCUGGGCCAACACUGACGCUCAGGCACGAAAGCGUGGGGAGCAAACAGG
rnacentral:rRNA from 1 species